UAAUGGAAUGCAAUGCUCAGAGUAGUAAAUUAUUUGUUAGUUGACGAUGCAAUCAGCAUGCUGAUUAAGGUUGCUUGGUUUUUUACUAAACAUUAACUGAAUGAAAACGGGUAGUCCUUGUUCUGCUUGGGGGGCUUUAAGGAAGCAAAUGGACUUUCAGAACAGAGAUUGUCAAUAAAGGUGUUGUGCCAUGUUAAAGACCCUCUUGUCAUUUUUAUUAUUCAUGGAUGGACGCUAAUUCUACAAGUCAGUUUAAGUACACAGGAAAAUCAGAUCAUUAUCUAAGGCCAACAAGCUCCUCCUUGAGAUGUUCUGCCAUAUAAUCUGGAGGAAAUACUGUAAGACUUUGUCAGCACUGAGUCAUUUGCACUGGGAGUCUUACCAGAAAAAAAAAAUCUUGUCUUCUCAGAAGGUUGUUUACUGUUCUAUUCAAAGAUCAAUUUGUCAUGUCAACACUUUCUCUAAUACAAUGGCAAGUGGCAAGAACAAACUGUACAGAAUCCUGUUUCCAAGUAAGCAAAAGUGCACUGUGGGGAAGACUGGUAUAGCCUAAGCAGGUAUUAUAAGCAGAGACAGAUAGAUACGGGUUAAAGGCAAAGUUUUUUGCCUUACGAGAUCCUAGAAUGAAGGUGACAUAGAGGGGACACAAAAGACAUAUAAUUAGAUAUAAAUGUUACCUUUACCCCAAACUCAGUCUUUCCUUUCUACUGACCACUUAGGGCUCAAUUCACUAAUCUCCCACUUUAAUAUACAUUUGAAUUUUACCCCCCACUUCUUGAGACCACUUAUCUCAAGAAAGAUGUUACAUGACAGCUUUUAAGAUGCCAUGGUACAGAAACAAUUAAGUAUGCACCUGGUCCAUUAAAAGUGGCCUAUAUAAGAAAUAAGAUAUUCUACAGAAUUCUAUAAAUCCUGCUACUGCCACUCCCUGCUCCCUGGUAUCUGUUACCUUGUUUGUGUCAAUAGUCGCAGAUCCUAUGUUCCUGUUCUUACCUCAGUCUUUGGCAUUUUCUGUGUAACCCCUGGUAAUCAUAUUUAGCAGCCCUCCACCACACCCCUCAAUUUAAUGCUCCUAUUCUUUACUGGUGCUUUCACUGCCUUCCUCCUGAAGUCUUACUUUACCCUUCCCAUGUUUUAUGUGGUCUGACAGCUAUGUCUCAUGUCUUCUUUUAUCUAUGCUAGCAUAUGUAUUUGGUCAAUUCAGAAAAAUAAAAGUUUAUUUUAAUAUGCA
rnacentral:lncRNA from 1 species